AGGAGAUCCAGUGUAAUAUUAUUUGACAGUGUGCAAUUUAGUUAUUCCUGACGUUAAUUGGUCGAUGGUAUAUUUGUACAUUUUCAUUGGUUGUCGGAACUAUUUUCACACCACUACGUUCAUUCAUAAUAUUUCAUCGGUUCAUUGACAGAUUGACCUUAUGUAAUGUAUUU